CUCGAUAUUACUGCAGCGGUUCCUUUCAUGGCAGCCCCUUCUUCCUGCUCACUCCCUUCUCAGGGCAUUCCCUCCUCUUUCAUUCCUCUGCCUUCUUGGAAUGAGAACCGUAUCUUUCCUGUUUCUUAUACCUUCUUCCUUUCAACCCCUUUUGCAUGCUUAAAUUGUGGUCUCCCGUCUGAGUGGUUCUUUCCGCUAACUGAGUCUAGCCUUUGCUUAAGAAGCCUCUCUCUGCAAAAGCAUUUAUUACACUGAAUUGCGUGUAGUAUUCAGUUUAUACGGACAAUGGAAGCUACAGAUGCUAAUAUGGAAAAUGGAAAAGGGAACUGCCACGUAGUUUUGUACUUAAUCCUAUAGUCUCAGUGUUUUGAAUGCUUCACUGGAUUCAUUGACCGGGCUUGCUUACCUAAUUAGAAAUAUCUGACCAGGCUUGUGUUUCCUAACAGUGGGAGAAAAACAAAGAUCAUCCUGGAAGAUCUCUGAAGAAAGAACAUUUCAAAAAAAAGUGGCUGUCAACAUGCCCCUGCAGGACCUGACUUAUCCAGUCCGAAGCUCCAUCACACCAGCCUGGGACCGGCCAUCAUCCUGCUGCGUGACCUCCUCCUCCCUGAGGAGGUGAACCUCAUCAAACCUCAGCGUUUUACCACAAAACUGAAGCUAUUGUUCAAAAAUAAAAGGAAUGGUAAAUGGUUUGGUAUGGCUUGGGAUGUCACCUAUGAUGGUUUUACGUUCAGAGACGACUAGGAGUUAUGUUUAGUGGCAUGACACUCAUUUCCUUCAUAAAGACAUUCCUGAAAUAGUAGCGGGUUUUAUUGCUCACCUGCGGGGCUCAAGCUGAUAUAUGCUGUAAGUGUGCAGCCAUGUUCCCCAUCAAUUCAAUUUGCAUUCAUCAAUCUCUUCUGUCCAGUGAUUGAUUAUAUGAUUCAUCCUGACGGUCAUCAGGCCAUCCCACUAAGGUAUUCAGUAACUCAGUAGUACGGCAUUUCCACACGGAGAUGCCACCAUUUACAAGAAGCCUGCAGCAGUCCUGUGUCUGCUAGGACACAUAAUAGACGCACACAUACCAGUGUGACAUACAAAUGUCAUCAGACAGAAUUAUGAAUUCUAUCUGAAUUCAUAAUUUCAUUAUGAAAUUUGAAAAUGCGGCUAACAUUUUGCAGGAAAAAUAAUAAUAAUAAAGUUUAGGGCAGAAUGGCAAAUACCUUUCUUAGAGAUACAUGAUACGAUAGUGCAUAACACUCUUAUCAAAGGCUACAGCUCCAGCAAAUGCAGAUCAUCCUUUCCAUCUGGAGAAGGGGUCUAAUGAAGAUGUGUACACAGACUUGAUGCAUUCCUUUUCCAUAUAUUCCCCCCAUCACAUCUCAUUUUGUUUCUUCUGUCAACAAAAUCUGCUUCCAAAUUAAAUUAGGGUAGCAUGAGCGUAUGUGCCCAGUAAUCAGUAAAAUAUUAGGUUUUUUUUUUUUUUUUUUUUUUUUUUUUUGUGGUUUGUUUGUUUUUUUUUUUUUUUUUUUAGAGAGACGGAAUAAAGACAUCCAAGUAGCAGGAACUACUUAGUUGUUGGGUUGUGUUUUGUUUUGUGUUUUGUUUUGUUUUGUUUUGUUUUUCUUACCAGCUUUUUCUUUCAGGCUCACAAGUUCUUUUGACUUUUAUUUUGCGGUCACUGUUCAAUUACACCAUCUAAGAAAUGAGAUAAAGUAUAUCUAAUCUUACCCAAAAUUAUCAGUGAAGAUCCCCCAAAUAAAAACUUAACAAUGUAAAACUGAAAAGCAGGAAGAAGGAAGUCAGCAAAAUUCUUAAAAGCAAAGCCCUUACACUUGUUAGAUGUAAACUUUUGAGGAAAAUGGGCACAAACAUUAUGUACCAAAUUCUGCCUUGGACUUCUGCCAUGGAGACCAGUAAACAGAAAAAAAA